GGUUGAAUAUUAACCUGCCUUGAUUGGGUGGAUCAAUAUUUAAACUCAAUUAUAAGGGAAAGGGGUUAUCUGGAAAGAGCUUAUCGGGCAAGAGGCAGCUGUUGGGCCUCUGAUCAGUGAACUCUCGGGGACAGAGAUUGGUUUGCUCCACCAAUGCCACUCAGAAGUCCAGCCCAGGGCCUGGCAGGGAGAAGCCUCUCCAGCAGUGUUUGUUGAGUGAGUAAAUAGCCUCCCAAAGAAUUCAACUGCCAUAAAUCUCCCUGGGGGUUUUGCAACCAGAGGAGACUGACUCCUCUCAGCCACGAGAAGCUGAGAAGCCUUGACUGGAAUAAGAGAUGAGCUCCCACAUGCGUGCCAUCUGUUCUCCUACGGGCCCAUUUCUCUUUCCUAAGAGGGAGAUGUGCUCCCAGCCUCCCCCCUACACUCCCCCCCCCCGGAAAGAUGGUACGUGAGCCCCCAGUUCUGACUGCCUCUUUCACUCACGUAUUUGUGUGCGCAACUGUGUACAUAUGAGAAUAAAUAUCUUUCUCUUAC